UACGUAGGGCGCAAGCGUUAUCCGGAAUUAUUGGGCGUAAAGAGCUCGUAGGCGGUUUGUCGCGUCUGCUGUGAAAGACCGGGGCUCAACUCCGGUUCUGCAGUGGGUACGGGCAGACUAGAGUGUGGUAGGGGAGAUCGGAAUUCCUGGUGUAGCGGUGAAAUGCGCAGAUAUCAGGAGGAACACCGGUGGCGGAGGCAGGUCUCUGGGCAGUUACUGACGCUGAGGAGCGAAAGCAUGGGGAGCGAACAGG
rnacentral:rRNA from 1 species